rnacentral:rRNA from 1 species
GACGAACGCUGGCGGCGUGCUUAACACAUGCAAGUCGAACGGUGAAGCUCCAGCUUGCUGGCGUGGAUCAGUGGCGAACGGGUGAGUAACACGUGAGCAACCUGCCCCAGACUCUGGAAUAAGCGCUGGAAACGGCGUCUAAUACUGGAUACGAGAUCAAGCCGCAUGGUUAUGGUCUGGAAAGUUUUUCGGUUUGGGAUGGGCUCGCGGCCUAUCAGCUUGUUGGUGAGGUAAUGGCUCACCAAGGCGACGACGGGUAGCCGGCCUGAGAGGGCGACCGGCCACACUGGGACUGAGACACGGCCCAGACUCCUACGGGAGGCAGCAGUGGGGAAUAUUGCACAAUGGGCGAAAGCCUGAUGCAGCGACGCCGCGUGAGGGAUGACGGCCUUCGGGUUGUAAACCUCUUUCAGCAGGGAAGAAGCGAAAGUGACGGUACCUGCAGAAGAAACACCGGCUAACUACGU